GGGAAUAUUGCACAAUGGGCGAAAGCCUGAUGCAGCAACGCCGCGUGAGUGAUGAAGGUCUUCGGAUUGUAAAGCUCUGUCUUUUGGGACGAUAAUGACGGUACCAAAGGAGGAAGCCACGGCUAACUACGUGCCAGCAGCCGCGGUAAUACGUAGGUGGCGAGCGUUGUCCGGAUUUACUGGGCGUAAAGGGUGCGUAGGCGGAUGUUUAAGUGAGAUGUGAAAUACCCGGGCUUAACUUGGGUGCUGCAUUUCAAACUGGAUAUCUAGAGUGCAGGAGAGGAGAAUGGAAUUCCUAGUGUAGCGGUGAAAUGCGUAGAGAUUAGGAAGAACACCAGUGGCGAAGGCGAUUCUCUGGACUGUAACUGACGCUGAGGCACGAAAGCGUGGGUAGCAAACAGGAUUAGAUACCCUGG
rnacentral:rRNA from 1 species